UACAGAGGUCCCGAGCGUUGUUCGGAUUCACUGGGCGUAAAGGGUGCGUAGGCGGCUUAGCAAGUCUGAUGUGAAAUCUCCAGGCCCAACCUGGAAAUGGCAUUAGAAACUGCUGGGCUGGAGGCUUGGAGGGGGAACUGGAAUGCUCGGUGUAGCAGUGAAAUGCGUAGAUAUCUGGAGGAACACCGGUGGCGAAGGCGGCAUCCUGGACCGGUAUUGACGCUGAGGCGCGAAAGCCAGGGGAGCAAACGGG
rnacentral:rRNA from 1 species